UACGAAGGGGGCUAGCGUUGCUCGGAAUUACUGGGCGUAAAGCGCACGUAGGCGGCUUUCUAAGUCGGGGGUGAAACCCUGGAGCUCAACUCCAGAACUGCCUUCGAUACUGGAGAGCUCGAGUCCGGGAGAGGUGAGUGGAACUGCGAGUGUAGAGGUGAAAUUCGUAGAUAUUCGCAAGAACACCAGUGGCGAAGGCGGCUCACUGGCCCGAUACUGACGCUGAGGCACGAAAGCGUGGGGAGCAAACAGG
rnacentral:rRNA from 1 species